ensembl:misc_RNA Metazoa_SRP Metazoan signal recognition particle RNA
GCCAGGCGUGGUGGCUCACGCCUGUAAUCCCAGCAGUUUGGGAGGCCGAGGCGGGUGGAUCACCUGAGGUCAGGAGUUCCAGACCAGCCUGGCCAACAUGGUGAAAUCCUGUCUCUA